rnacentral:rRNA from 1 species
GAUGAACGCUGGCGGCGUGCCUAAUACAUGCAAGUCGAGCGAACAGACGAGGAGCUUGCUCCUCUGACGUUAGCGGCGGACGGGUGAGUAACACGUGGAUAACCUACCUAUAAGACUGGGAUAACUUCGGGAAACCGGAGCUAAUACCGGAUAAUAUAUUGAACCGCAUGGUUCAAUAGUGAAAGACGGUUUUGCUGUCACUUAUAGAUGGAUCCGCGCCGCAUUAGCUAGUUGGUAAGGUAACGGCUUACCAAGGCAACGAUGCGUAGCCGACCUGAGAGGGUGAUCGGCCACACUGGAACUGGGACACGGUCCAGACUCCUACGGGAGGCAGCAGUAGGGAAUCUUCCGCAAAGGGCGAAAGCCUGACGGAGCAACGCCGCGUGAGUGAUGAAGGUCUUCGGAUCGUAAAACUCUGUUAUUAGGGAAGAACAAAUGUGUAAGUAACUAUGCACGUCUUGACGGUACCUAAUCAGAAAGCCACGGCUAUCUACGUG